rnacentral:lncRNA from 1 species
CCCCUGACCGGUGUGCCGCUGCACCACAUUGCUCUUCCUUUCUUUCCGUGGAUCACGCCAGCCACCUAGUCAGUUCUGAUGAGAGAACCUGGAUACCUUGGUUGCCAGUGCAGGAUCCACACACUAAUUAUGGUUCUUUUUGAUGGGAGCCCCGGAUUGCUGCUGCUUCUAUUCGGCCAUCUUGUCCCCACCCCGGGAUGACAUCUAGGUGCAAGAUCCCAGCCCCACGCCUCAUUCUCCACAAGCUCCUCUGACGUCUUCCAACCCAAGAACAUCAAG